UCCGGCUUAGCACCGGCAGUCCCAUUAGAGUUCCCAACUAAAUGAUGGCAACUAAUGGCGAGGGUUGCGCUCGUUGCGGGACUUAACCCAACAUCUCACGACACGAGCUGACGACGGCCAUGCAGCAUCUGUCACUGCGUUCCCGAAGGCACGGCCACCUUUCGGCGGCUUUCGCAGGAUGUCAAACCUCGGUAAGGUUCUUCGCGUUGCUUCGGAUUAAACCACAUCCUCCACUGCUUGUGCGGGUCCCCGUCAAUUCCUUUGAGUUUUAAACUUGCGUUCGUACUCCCCAGGCGGAUCACUUAACGCGUUAGCUUCGUAACGCAAGGGGUCGAAACCCCACAUUACUAGUGAUCAUCGUUUACGGCGUGGACUAC
rnacentral:misc_RNA from 1 species